rnacentral:rRNA from 1 species
CACGGGGGGGAGCAAGCGUUGUUCGGAAUCACUGGGCGUAAAGGGCGUGUAGGCGGUUGCGUAAGUGGAAUGUGAAAUCCCCCGGCUUACCCGGGGACCUGCAUCCCAAACUGCGCGACUUGAGUAUGGGAGAGGAUGAGGGAAUUCCUGGGUGUAGCGGUGAAAUGCGUAGAUAUCAGGAGGAACACCGGUGGCGAAGGCGCUCAUCUGGCCCAAUACUGACGCUGAUGCGCGAAAGCUAGGGUAGCGAACGGG